rnacentral:rRNA from 1 species
AGUUAAAAUGUAAUUAAAAGACGAGAAGACCCUAUAGAUCUUUAUUUUUGUUAAUUAUAAAUUAAAAAGAAUAAUUAAAUUUAUAUUUUAAUAAAAAAUUUUACUGGGGUGGUAUUAAAAUUUAAAAAACUUUUAUUUUCAAUUUACAUUAAUUUAUGAAUAUUUGAUCCAGUUAUAUUGAUUAAAAAAUUAAGUUACCUUAGGGAUAACAGCGUAAUUUUUUUUUAGAGUUCUUAUCGACAAAAAAGA